AUUGAACGCUGGCGGCAGGCUUAACACAUGCAAGUCGAACGGUAACAGGUAAGUACUUGUACUUAUGCUGACGAGUGGCGGACGGGUGAGUAAUGUUUGGGAAUCUAGCUUAUGGAGGGGGAUAACGACGGGAAACAGUCGCUAAUACCGCGUAGUAUCGGAAGAUGAAAGUGCGGGACCUUAGGGCCGCAUGCCAUAGGAUGAGCCCAAGUGGGAUUAGGUAGUUGGUAGGGUAAAGGCCUACCAAGCCUGCGAUCUCUAGGUGGUGUGAUAGGAUGGCCAGCCACACCGGGACUGAGACACGGCCCGGACUCCUACGGGAGGCAGCAGUGGGGAAUAUUGCGCAAUGGGGGCAACCCUGACGCAGCCAUGCCGCGUGAAUUAAGAAGGCCUUCGGGUUGUAAAGUUUUUUCGGUGUUGAGGAAGGAUGUUGUGUAAAUA
rnacentral:rRNA from 1 species